UGUCAUCAUUCGUGGGAAGAACAUUAUCGCCUGUUCCUAUAGUCAUGGUGGAACCAUGUGGAUUCUGUUACAGGAGUUACAAAGAAGCCAGCCGCAGUCCAAGUGAAAUGAAAUGUGGGCAGCCAUCCCAGAUGAUAUAGAUCGGCGAACAUUUGUCACUCAGUCAUUCCGCGCUGUCAGCAGAAGCUAACGGCGUUCAUUUUGAACAUCUGUGACAUUUCAUCAACUGCCACGAACUAUGGCUGCUGCACAAACAGAAACGUUUUUGAAGCCAACAGAUCAGCAGCUUGUCUCACACUCCUGGUAUUGACCAGCAUCACCAGAUUGCCACUUCAGCUCUCUCAUUAAAAGAGAAGCAACUGUACUGCAAAGCAGAUUGCCUCGACAAUGUGAAAAGCUCUGGAGUUACAGUACAAGCAUGGAGGAGUGUUUCUAUUUAACUCUCAUUAAUACUUGUCACCAAAUAUUGAAUGAGUAAAACUGGGGGAGUUUGAGCAAAGGUUCUAGAAUGCCGUCAACAAACGGGAAUCUGAUGUGCCAGUAGGGCUAAGAGAGUACGACUUAGCUUAGAUCUCCAGGCAUCUUGUUCGACGAUGUGUUGAUGUUCAAGAAGAUUUGGAUGCAACAGGAAAAAUAUUAGAAGAAGCUGGCCAUUAUGGAAACUCUGAACUGGGAGUGACAAGCAACAUCUAAGUCAAAAUACAAAAUAAGAAUCCUAACAUUAAAAUAUUCUUGGAAGAGUCUUAGUCUUCUUCUAACACUAAAAGCAGCAAAAAAGAGUAACAGAGACUUUGUUUUUUAUUUCAAAUUAGCCAAAGAAUUCUUGAAUAUUCAAUCCACUAUAUUAAUCAGGGGCCAUAUGCUGAUAUCACCUGACCAAGUGACUGGCAAUGGACAUCCCUACGAUACACAAUAUGGCUGCAACCACCACAAAAUAAUGCAAAAUAGCAAUGCCCACGGUAAACAAUAAACCAUAAUGUUUUGAAAGUGAGUCAUCAAAAGAACGAUGAGAAAUAUAAAGCACCAGAAACUACAGUCUCUCAAGGAGUUCAAACCUUACUGGUGUGCUUUCACAUUUCACAGUGUGAGUGCUGGACAUUUACCUACCCACAAAUCUGCCAGUUAAUAUGAGCAAUGCCCCUUCAGUCUCAGCUUUUAAAUCAGGUUGAAGACUUGCUACUUCAGACCAGCAUACCCCGACUAGAGCUGCUGAUUAGCUGUGCAUAGUGCAUCUCUGUUUGUCAGCCAUUUGUAAAGAAAUAUAAGUAAUGCAAUAUUUGUAACUGUGAAUAACGAUUCUCUAUUCUAUUUCACUUCAAGUGCCACAUCUCUAUUACCAGGUUGAUCGCUUGCAUAUGGAAAAAGUCAUCUCAGUUAAAGAACACAGAAUGACCAGGAGGAGGUAGGCGGCUAGUUGGCCGAGGUCUCCAGGCCUGUCACUGUGUCUGACUUUGUUUUUGCCUCUCUUACAAUUUCAUCUCCUGGCCAUAGUUCAUCAGUUAAUUAAUGUGGCAGAUAUUGUUGGAUUUCAUUUAUGUUAAUCAGUAUCAACCUUCUUCUCAGUGUGUUUGCUAUAUAUGUGAACCACUUCUGUAUUUAGUAAUUAGUGUAAUCUAUACUUGUGUUUUACCUUAGAAUUGUUCACAGCGCUCUGUGCCAGCAAUCAGUGAAGAGUGUUAUAAAAAAAAUAAGUUGUAAUUGUAAUAUGAGGGCAGAGUAACAGUGGAAGAUGGCACUGGACGCACUCCAGUACAGAGAGCUGACUUCAAUGAAAGAUACCAUCAUGAUUGGGGACACAUUUCAAAUGAAGAAUGCAAGAUUGACAGCCACUCCAACUCUGACAUCACUUCCAUGUCUGUCUGCCUGCACCCUCCCCUUCCUGCCACUUCAACUUAUAACCUGGAAAUCAGCCAUCUUGUUUCAAUUCCUAUACAGAAGCCCCAGUCUGAAACGCCUACUCCACAUUUACUGUGUGUUUUCUUAGUUUUUUUCUCAGUGGUCACCAAGGAGGUGCCCCAUCUCUUUACCUUUCUUUGUGUCCAACAUUACAACAUAUGGUGUAUACACAAAUUGUACGGUUUUGUGUUAUGAAGAACUUUAAAGGUGCUGAGCCUGCAAAGUCUCUUUAUAAAACAAGGACUUGUAAUGUUCAU